rnacentral:rRNA from 1 species
UACAGAGGUCCCAAGCGUUGUUCGGAUUUACUGGGCGUAAAGGGCGCGUAGGCGGCAAUUCAAGUCAUCUGUGAAAUCUCCGGGCUUAACCCGGAACGGUCAGGUGAUACUGUUUUGCUAGAGUGCGGAAGGGGCAAUCGGAAUUCUCGGUGUAGCGGUGAAAUGCGUAGAUAUCGAGAGGAACACCAGAGGUGAAGACGGGUUGCUGGGCCGACACUGACGCUGACAGCGCGAAAGCCAGGGGAGCAAACGGG